rnacentral:rRNA from 1 species
UACAAGGUAUUGAAUAAGACUUUAAUUGAGUGCUAAGAGAAUGGAUUUUCAAAAAAAUGCUUUCUUCAAUUCAAAAAUUGAAGCUAUUUUUUUUGUGAAGAAACAAAAAUAAAAAUUAAAGACAAGAAGACCCUAAGAAUUUUUAUAAAUUUAUUGUAUAAAUGUAUAAUAUAUUUAUUUAAUUGGGGCGAUUAAAAAAUAUUUUAAACUUUUUUUUUAAAAAAAAAGAUCCAUUAGUAAUGAUUUUUUGAAAAAAAUACUCUAGGGAUAACAGCGUAAUAAUUUUAGAUAGAUCUUAUAGAAAAAAUAGUUUGCGACCUCGAUGUUGGAUUAGGAUUCUUAUUUAAUGAAGAAGUUAAAAAAAGAAGUUUGUUCAACUUUUAAAUUCCUACUUGA